rnacentral:lncRNA from 1 species
AUCUAUCCCAUCGAAUUGGAGAUAAAGGAUACUACAGAUACAGUUAAGUCGGCUUCAUAUCUUGACUUACAUCUAGAAAUUGAUAAUGAGGGUCGGUUGAAAACAAAACUUUACGACAAAAGAGAUGAUUUCAGCUUUCCAAUUGUGAACUUUCCAUUUCUAAGUAGCAACAUUCCAGCAGCACCUGCAUACGGAGUAUAUAUCUCCCAAUUGAUACGAUAUUCCCGUGCUUGCAUUUCCUAUCAUGAUUUUCUUGAUAGAGGGUUACUGCUCACAAGGAAGCUAUUAAACCAAGAGUUCCAAAUGGUGAAGUUUAAAUCAUCCCUUCGUAAAUUUUACGGACGCCAUCACGAGUUGGUUGACCGUUAUGGAAUAACCGUUUCACAAAUGAUAUCGGAUAUGUUCCUCACGUCGUAACUACAAUCCCCUUCCCUUUCAUGAAUGUGACCUACCGAAUUAGACUAUUUACCGGAUUUGUAAUCACAUAAGCAACACGACGGGUGCCAC